rnacentral:lncRNA from 10 species
AUGAUGACAAUGAGAAAAAUCUGACCUAAUUGACGCCAUCUUACUUCUAACCUCCAAGCUGCCUGUGUUUAUUCCUGGACAUAUGCCAAAGUAACUUUGGGAGUAAUUUAGUUUAUAAUUUAACUUUGAAACAAAGAGGACAACAGCCCCUCCCUGAAACAAACCCCUUCUGUUACCGAAAAGGGGUCCUGAUGAAGCGGCGUCAUUGUCUGGGGUAAAUAUCUGAGGUUCGUUGUCUCAUGCUGAGAGAAUCGAGGACAUGGACACGUAAGAAACCCUGCACUUGAUGGAUCAACUGGCAUCACCUAGACCAGUAAACUGGCUCGUCUGGUCUGUGGCCCCACACCCAGGAACUCACUUAGCUGAAGAGGACAGCUUUGACUUCCUAUGAUUUCAUCCACAACCUGACCAAUCAGCACUCCCUACUCCAUAGCCCCCUGCCCACCAAACUACCUUCAAAAAAGCCUAGCCUCUGAAGUUUUGAGGAGGCUGAUUUGAGUAAUAAUAAAACUCAGGUUUCCUGUUUAGCCAGCUCUAGUAUAUUAAACUCUUUCUGUAUUGCAGUUCUCCUGUCUGAAUGUCAGCUCUAGCUGGGCAGUGGGCAAGAAGAACCCAUUGGGCAAUUACAAAGAGGGAAGUAAGACAUGACUGCUGUCACAUUUCAAUGCCUUUCUGGGCCUGAUAAUUUAAAGGGGCUCACAUUUCUCAAAGCCAACUUAUCCCAAUCUUGCCAACCACAAGUUUUGUAGCAGUUACGGAAAACAAAAACUACAACCUGGGACAAGACCAAAGUCACAUACCCCUCUGUUCUCAUUGCUGUAUAACAACUCCAUUCCUACUUUGGUUCAGGGAGUUACCUAAUUUUGAGGUGCUCCCUGAUGAACAUUGACUGAAUAAAGCCUUUGACCUCUAUUUGAGAUCACUUUAACAAUUUUUUUCUUGACAGUUUAAUGCUGUGACUUAGGAUCUGGAUGAACCCUGGAUCCCACUGCAGUUUCAGAGGAGGAGAGACUGCAUUGAGGGAUCUUUGCUUCCUCCUUUCUUGGGGACUACUGUUGGGUUGAGAGGUAAAUAAUGUUCCUGAUUCUGUGCUCAGGUUUUUUUCUUGUAACACAGAGGUUUCAGGCUUCCAUUCUUUGAAAGGAUUAACUUAUUGUCUGAUAGGUCACUGCAUCUAUUUUCCUUUUGUCUUUUUGGGAU